rnacentral:lncRNA from 1 species
UUUUAAUUGUAUCCCGAAGAAAUCUUAGAAGAAAUACAGAGCUCUGAAGUAACUCAAAAGGUUAAGCAGUUAAAUGCACAAAUAGAGCUCCUGUUACACACUGUAGGUCAGCCUGUCCUUUACACUGUGAAGAGUUUGAAAGAGGCUAAUAAACCCAGCAGCCUAUGGCAAAGGUAAUUUAUUUUAUAUUCCUAGUCAUCACAUGCAAUAUUUUUUGCAGGGGGAGAGCAAAUAUAAUUCAAAGAAAGUGAUAAACAAUAAAAACAGUACCUAGUGAUGCUUCCACCCCCGUUCUGAGACUGUGCCUUCCUAGUCCCUUUUGUGGUGCGUUUCACAGCCUGUUUGCACACCACCAUCUUGGAGGCUCCUACCUGACAGGCUGAGAGGGACAGCAACUCUGCCAUGCUGGGGGUCAGUAGCCCUUCUUGGAGGCGACACAAAUCACGUGAGAUAACUAACUUCCAGGUGUGGGCACACACAUGUCUGCACCGGCACCUCCCAGCCCCAGCCCCUGGAAAACACACCUUCUUGGCUCCCAAUAGGAUCCCUGCUGGGAAUAAUUACUAAGUGGACAGAUCUCCACCUGGUGGAUUCCCUGAGUCCACAUGGAGGACAGCUUCUCCUGGGCUCGAAGUGAGAGGCUGAGCCUGCUCCACUCCCAGCUUGCACUCGCUACAUUCUACAUGGAUGAGGUCACUGGACUGCAGAUGAGGUAACAGUGCAGCCUGCCCAAGAGCUGUAAGAGGUUACCAUAUGACGAGUCGUGUAAACACAGUGAGGUCCCCGUGGGGCCUGAGGACAGCUGGACUCUGCUCCUGGCUGCAGAGUGAUGGGAGCUGCGGGACUGCAGGAGACUGCACUCUUAAAAGAGCCAAAUUACUGCCUAAGCUCAUGUCACACCUACCCGGACAUCAGUCUACCAGCCUCAGUUGAGAGCAACCACCCCAAACACUAUCAAAGGGACACAAAAACAAGCAGACUCUCAUAGCCAUGCAUGGGGCUGGUGCCCUAAAGAUUGAAAGACAGAGAGAUUUUGCAAGCAUACCAAAGAAUCUGAAAUUUCUCCUAAGGGUCAUGGCAAAUUGU